rnacentral:rRNA from 1 species
UGAACGCUGGCGGCGUGCCUAACACAUGCAAGUCGAACGCGUACAUGGGGUUCGCCCCAGGUGCGAGUGGCAGACGGGUGAGUAACGCGUGGACAAUCUACCUCCAAGUGGGGAAUAUCCAUCCGAAAGGGUGGGCAAUACCGCAUAAUAUCGCAGGAACUACGGAGCCUGUGAUCAAAGCUGGGGACCGGGAAACUGGCCUGGCGCUGGGAGAGGAGUUCGCGUUGGAUUAGCUAGUUGGUGAGGUAACGGCCCACCAAGGCGACGAUCCAUAGCCGGCCUGAGAGGGUGAUCGGCCACACUGGAACUGAGACACGGUCCAGACUCCUACGGGAGGCAGCAGUGGGGAAUUUUGCGCAAUGGGGGAAACCCUGACGCAGCAACGCCGCGUGGGUGAUGAAGCAUCUUGGUGUGUAAAGCCCUGUCAACGGGGACUAAGGUACGGUAUUGAAUAGAUGCCGUGCUUGAAUGUACCUGUGGAGGAAGCCCCGG